AUCCCUGAACAACUGCUAGUCACUUUAAAUUAUUCUGCAUUUCAAACAGGAAAUCAUCCAAUUAGACUAACAGCUGCAGAGAUUGAAAUAAGCCUUACAUAUUUGAAAAUUAAGGAAAUGCAACUAAGUACCAAGGAAAGGAGCUAAGACACCUACAGAUACUACUCCUGCAGCUUUUGGCACUGUGCAUCCCGUAACUGGCCUUCAGGAGACGUCUCUUUUCUGAAGAGGUGGUUCCUUGAAGAAUCUCAGGCUGACAUCAGACUACCUAAUCUCUCUUUUAUUAGUUAGAAGAUUACUCUUAAGGCCAACAAGAUCAUUUACAUCCAACUUGUCCUGGAUUCAGAAAAAAGGGGAGCACCCAAGGCCCAGAAUCUUGCUGUUCAAUAUGACAUGGUCUUGCACAGAGCAUAUUUUCACUGGGUCAACUCAGAGAAACUGCUGAAACUAAGAAACUAUCCUACAGAACAGAUUUUCCUUUUUUUCCUCAGCUUAGCAGUCACUUGUGUUCCUUUCAACCCCGAAGAAUGACCCGAAUUUAAUUGCUUUGUUUCUUGGAAAAUACCAUGUUCCAUGUAUUUUCUUCCAGACAUAGUCUGAAGAUGUUAAUCAGU